rnacentral:lncRNA from 1 species
GUGACGUGGAGUAAACAGAGGCGCAAAGAUAGUGUGACACAUCUAGAAUAUCUGUUUUUUUAUGACGUCUUCGAAUUUAUUUGAAAUCCAGAAAAGCAUAAAAAAAUUUCAGAUGCAAUAUUAGGAUCUAUAUAGUAAGUUAUCUUUAUUAAUUCUUUUACAUUAUUUAAAUAAGUGUUAUGCUGGUAACUUAUUAUCACUGGGUUUUGUGGUGGUUUUUUUUUUUUUGUGUUACUCAGUUUCCAGUUUUCUAUUUUUUUUUAUGCUGUCAUUUUACUUUUUUUUUUUUUUUAAAUGUGUUACCAUGUUUGUUUAUUUUCGACUUAUGACUUCGGUAUCUUAUGAUCCAGUGUAAACUGUAGAUGUCUAGUCAAGUUUGAUGUGGGAUUAUAAGCAUUAUUUAGUUCUACGAUAUUUAUUCCCAAUGUAUUUUAGAAGGAAGGACUGAAUGACGAAAGGAGUCGAGCGGAUACUAAGGAGAUAUGAUUGCCAAUGAGACAAUCAUCCCCGGAAGAUCAAAUAAAGUUGGUGUAAGCAAUGAAUGCUUUCGCUGUUUGAGAUUUAAGUAAAAACUACAGAACAUGAUAUCAAUCUAUCCCACUUCCGACGAACACGCCUUGGUCAUGUUCUGUGGACACAGGUAAUCUUUGAUUGAUAGUUAAGAAUAUUCUACACAGAAGUUACUUUAAACCAUGAUAACUGAACUUUUAAGUUUAUAAAGACCUAAUGUCCUGUAAAAUAAAGCGCAAAUAUCUUGUAGAAAAAGCUCAAAUGUUCUUUAAAAAAACCAAAAUGUCCAUUAAAAAGUGCAAAUGUCCCAGGCUAUCCAUUUUUAGAACAGAAUUCAAGUAUGCAUGCAUAAUCAAGAAAAAGUGAAUCGGAUACACUACAGAUGCAGCAAGAAAAGUGAGUCGGAUACACUUCAGAUGCAGCAAUGAAAAGAGAAACGACAGAAAAGGUAAGUUACUGAUUAUUUCGAAUGAAAAAUACUACUACUAAGACCUUUUACCUCAAGAAUUGAUUAGCUUACCUGUAUUUGUCAAAACUUUUAGGAAUUUUUGGUCCUCAAUGCUCCUUUAUUUUGGCCCUUUUUAACUAUUUUUUCGAGUGUCACUGAUGAGUCUUUUGUAGACGAAACGCGUGUCUGCCGCAAAUACAAAUCCUGCUAUCUAUAUACGUUUAUUUAACGAACAAAUAUGACAGACAUAAACCAACGACAAUCACUGAACCAUAGGCUAUUUGUUGCUUUAUAUUUUCGUUUUUUAAAGGUGUGUGUGUUUUUUUAUCCUUAAAUACUAUUAAAGGUAUUUUAUUCAAUAACUUUAUCAAACAUAUAAUGAAUUUGAGAAAAACUUGGACAGAUGCUUUUUUUAUUAUCUAAAAAUAAUAUCUGAAACAAAAUGACAAUGUUGAACUUUCCGUUUCUUCAUUUUUGUUUGGAUCAACGAAAUUUACACUAUAUAUUUGGUUUACAGUUUAAUUCAGAAUAACACCGACAUAGCUUAAUAAUACAAUUAAUUAGCUAUGUACUACUACAAUUUGAUAUUAAUUAGUACUGUAAUUUUCACUGUUUAUAAUAAACGUUAGAGAAUCAUACAAAUCUAAUCUUGAACUUCAUCUAAAUUCUUUCUCAAUUUCGGGAACUCGUUUUAGAAAUUCAAAUGUGACGUCAUUUUGAGCGUGACACUGGUUAUGGCUAACAAGGCUGUGAAGGUUUGUAUUUAUCCGUUUUUGUUCUGUAGCUAGUCACUACUUUAGUUUUAAUCAUGUAUAUUAUAUAGUCAUUUCAUACAAUUUACUGUGUGCAAAAGUAUAAUUAUUCUUGAUAAUAAGGAUGUUCUUGUCCCAGGUGGAUAAACCUGGUCGUAUUGGUCUACUUUUUAGAACUUUUGGUCUUCAGUACUUUUCAGCUUUGUACUUGUUUUGGUUUUCUAACUUUUUCCAUCUGGGCGCCUCUGGUAAGUCUUGUGUGAAGGUGGUGCGAGUCUGGCGUUUUCAAUUUUUAACCAGGUACCUGUUGUUGGCUAUUUAUCAUUUGUUUUUCCUGUCCUAUAUUUUCUCCAAUUUAUUUGUAUUGUAGUCCUGUCAUGUAAUAUUAUCAUUUUAAUGUUAUAAUUAACAUUGCCAUUAAAGCGGGAGGUUUGGCAUGCCACAAAACCAGGUUCAACCCACCAUUUUUUUUUUAUCUUAAAAUGCCCUUUACCAAGUCAGGGAAAUGUCCAUUGUUAUAUUAUUGUUCGUUUAUGUGUGUGUUACAUUUUAAUGUUUGUUUCUGUUGUGUCUUAGUUCUCUUAUAUUAGAUGCGUUUCCCCCAGUUUUAGUUUGUAACUCGAUUUUUUUCUCUCUAUAGAUUUAUGAAUUUCGAACAGCGGUAUACUACUGUUGCCUUUAUUUGUACAUGACUGAUUAAAACUUACAGUAUUUGGCAAUUAUCAGUUGGAUAUAAUUUUGGGUUGAAUUGGUUAAGACAUCAAUAAUUUUGCCAAACAUUUUUAUAAUUUUAUGCAAAAGCUUAUUUAUGACUAAAAGAAAUACCUAAAUCAAAAUUUUGAUAUUAUUUUUUUUUCCAUUUUCUUAUUUGAUUGAUAAUUUGACUUGAUUAUUUUAGGUAACAUAUAAACAUAUAGUUUUGGAUUAAAUUGUCUACACAUCAUAAGCUUUUUUUUUUGGACCAGAUAUAAUAAUUGAAGACAAAAGAGUCGAUUGAAGAAACACUUUCCCGUAUUUUGUUUUUGCGACCAAUAUCACACCUUUUAUUCACUGACAGAAUCAAUCACAGAUGACAAGCAGGGUUCUGAUGCAGUUAAAAAAGUCAGAAUUAUUGGUGUUUCCGACGUCGACGUCGUCAACAAUGUAUAAGUUCGUGUUGAUCUCAGUUUAAGGUAAAGUCCUUGUGGUAGGGCAAUGAAAUUUGGAGUCAUGUGAAAAAGAAUUGUCACAUAUCUAUUUCAUAGAUAUCAUUUUGCUACACUUGUUCGGUGAUGAACUAUUGAUCUUGAAUGUUUUGCAUAGUUCACAUGCUGAAAUUUGUGUUAUUAGAUCAGUUUAGGAGGAACAGCUAAUGUUAGGCCAAUGUUAUUAUUAGCAUUUCAAAUAUACAAAAGAAGAUGUGGCAUGAUUGCCAAUGAGACAACUGUCUACAAGAGACCAAAAUGACACAGACAUUAACAACUAUAGGUCACCGUAAAAAGUCUUCUUUUCCACGGAGAUAUUAUAAACCCAUCCCAAUCAAACUUCAUUGACUUUGAUGUUUGUAUUAUGCCAGAGUUAAAGUGUGUGCAUAUGUUAGUGUUUAUGUAACCACUGAGGAUGAGGAUAUUUUGUAUUAAGUUUGAUAGACAUAAACAAUUUAAAUGUCUUUGGAGGUUAUUUGGUUUAAAGUCAUGGUUCAUUAACUUUGAAUGUUUUGCAUAGUUCACAUGUUUUAAAAUAUUGUCAUUGGGAUUAAUCAUUUACAAUUUACUAUUAAAAUAACCAAAAGCUGUGCCAACAGUUUAUUUACUGUUGUCUUUUUAUUGUCUCAAUGCGAAAUAUUUGAAAAGUUCAUUUAACACAAGUAAUAUAUUCAAUAAUAGAGCUCAUGUAUUGUGAACACACCUUAUGCUCGUAACAUUAUAAUUCAAGUAAUUACGUCUUUCCACCUUUCCAUGGAAAGACCUAUUCAAUUUGUUCUGAUUCUUUUUUUUAUUGUAGUUUCGAUGUAAGGAACAUAUCCGAUAUCAUUUGUGAAACGGUUAUUCCAUAACGGUCAACCAACUCGUGGUGGCGUCCGUAAGAUUUACGAAGGGAUGAUUUCAACUUCACCAUUUGGAACUCUUGGUUUAAUAGCUUCCUUGUGAGCAGCAACCCUCUAUCAAGAAAAUCAUGAUAGGAAAUGCAAGCACGGGAAUAUCGUAUCAAUUGGGAGAUGUAUACCCGUAUUGCAGGUGCUGCUGGAAUGUUGCUACUUAGAAUGGAAAGUUCACAAUUGGAAAUCUGAAAUCAUCUCUUUUGUCGAAAAAUUUUGUUUUCAUGACCCUCAUUGUCAAUUUAUAGAUGUAAGUCAAGAUAUGAGGCC